UUAAAAUACAAUUUUUGAACAAGUUUGAUAAUGGUUGAAACAAUAGAAAUCAUUUGAGAGGACAUAAUAGGUAAAAAAACAUGAUUUUUCUCUCAUUUUACAUGUUUUUUUUAUCUAUAAUGUGCUCUCCUAUGAUUUCUAUUUCUAUUCCUACGCUCCAGUUUCUCGCGGGAAUUUCACGAAAAAAUUGCGUCAUCCACCAAUCACUAUAGCUUCAUAUAUAUUGCGAAUUCGUCGUUUGCUCGACAAUCUCAAUAACAAGCAUACAUACGCGUAUAUUCGACUCGAUGCGCUCCGAGCCGAGAUAAUUUCCUGCGAUGCUUCUAUACACGAGUCGAUAACGUUUUUAUCUCGUAAAAGCGUGUACGCGCGAGAAAAAUAAUAAAAUCCUGUUUUUAAGUAUCGGUAAUUGUACGCACGUCGAACGUUGCGGGGCAGUUAAGCACGCGUGCGUGUGACUCAUUGUGAAGCUCGCUCGGUCCGGGGCCGCCUCAUCGCGCAAGGGAUUACGUUUCUAAUAUACAAACAAGGCUUAAUCUACACGUAUGAGUACGCGAGAGGCAUUAAAAAAAAAAAAAAACUCUCGAAGAAAAAUUUUUACAACUCAAUGACUUUUCGCGGAAACGUUCAAUAAUACCCCCGUAAUAUCAACGAGAAAGAACGAGUAAUAACGCGCGAGAGAGCCCGUUUAAAUAAUGGAUAAUGCGGCUUGACUGUACUUACGCACGUGCGUGGAAAAACAAAAAGAUGCAACUUCAAGCGAGACGUCGAGCGAGCGAGCAAACACGCACGCAUUCGACCACCUUUAAGGUUACUCGAUACCCGUCACAUCCUCCGAUCUUAUUUCGGACAAAUUAAAAUCUCGCAAAAUCGCCAAGUGUUCCAUUAUUGCUGCUCUCGACGAUCCGGUGUAUCCGAGGUGAAAAAUGGAUCCGCAAGAAUUCGUGCACCCGCUCGAGGACCAGCCGUACGACGUGCGGAACGCCGAGCCGGUCGAGUUGGAGCUCAAUAGACCCCUACACGACGACAGGAGGAAAAGAGUACCGACGAUAGGGAGAGACCCCGAGCCGAGCGACUCGCCGUGCAAAAAUCCACCGCCGACCUGCUGCAAACAAGAAGAAGUAAGUAGCAGCGAGCGAGCGAGACAGAGAAGACGAUUAUGAUCGCAUGUUGUUCGUAAGCCGGAGCAGCCUGCCAAGGGUGUCUGCUGCAACGGGCCCAAGGUCAUCAAGUGCAAGAAGGAGAGAAACCUGACCGUCCGCUGCGGAUUCAAGCGCAAACGAUCCAAGCCGCGGUGCUCGAUACCGAUAGUCAUACCUCGCGAGCUCUUGGGAAGGGAGGAGCAUCAGGAUUUGCUCGCGACCCCGAAGCAACGCGACUCGCCGUGCGCGACCUGCUGCGAGGUUCGACGCGUCAAGCCAACGAGCGCCAGGACCGAGCAACUGGCCAAGCCCAUGGAGAGACGAGUCCGAGAGACGUUGAAGCAGAAAAUGGACAUAUUGCCGCUUCGGAAGCUGGAAAAUCUCGUUAAUCAACUGGACCCUACGGCACUGGACAACUAUGGAGAACCAACCGCAAAGCAAAAAUGUCAAUCUUGUAAACCCGCUUGAGUAAAAAGUGUUGGGGCACGGGCAGCUAGGCCAGCAGUGGUGUGUCUGGAGGGCCGACGGUCUGAGGCUCCGCUGUCGAUCUGAACUUCGAUCAUCGUCUGUCGAAGCAUCCUUGCGAUCGGCAGUCUGCGCUCUGCGUAAGUCCAAGCUCGUGGCAAAUCGUCGCCGU